rnacentral:rRNA from 1 species
AUGUAUGUGAGGGGCCUUGCCCGCCGCCUCCAUAAAAACAGAACUCCAGCGCUGCUAUUCAAGCUCGACAUCCGCAAGGCGUUUGACUCUGUCAAGUGGGAGUACAUUAUUGACCUCCUGCAGCGGAGGGGAUUUCCUCCGCGCUUUCGGGAGUGGAUCACGGCCUUGCUUCGUUCAUCUUCCUCGCGAACCCUCCUCAACGGGGUCCCAGGACCUAUUAUCAGGCAUGAUCGUGGCUUUCGGCAGGGAGAUCCGAUCUCUCCUCUGCUCUUUGUCAUUGCCAUCGACCCUUUGCAGCAAAUGCUCGACCUCGCGACCCGUCGUGGACUUUUACACAAGCUUCGGGGGCGUCGUGCCAUUCUCCGCACAUCCCUAUAUGCCGACGACGCGGCGGUCUUCAUGGCUCCUAUUAAGGAAGAUAUCGACAACUUCGCUCAGAUCCUAAACUACUUUGGCAAGGUCACGGGCCUCUGCACAAACUUCCAGAAAAGCUCGGUCAUCCCAAUUCGAUGUAGAGACAUCAACCUCGACCACAUCCUUGCAGCCUUGCCGGCCUCCCGCGCAGCUUUCCCCAUCAAGUACUUGGGGCUACCUUUAUCGGUUCGGCAGCUGAGGCGAGGCGACUUCCAAUUCCUUGAGGACAAAGUGGCGGCCAGGCUGGUGCCGUGGGACGGAGAGAAUAUUACCGCCAUUGGGCGCGGGGCGCUUGUCAAGUCCGUGCUAGCCUCUCAGGUCAUUUACCACAUCAUCGCCCUUAGGCCUCCAUCGGGCACCCUGCUGAAUAUCACAAAAUUGGAGAGGGCAUUCCUUUGGGCGGGCUCUAAUAAGACAACUGGGGCCAAGUGUAAGGUUAACUAG